CUCUCAUUAACUCAGCGCAUAGAGUAGCGGGUUUCUACCCCGUUUGUCCUAGGUUGGAAUCCUAGAUGAGAGGCCA
rnacentral:tRNA from 1 species